ensembl:snoRNA
CGCCACCUGCUGGUCCCCAGCACAAGUAGGUUUUCACACCAUUAUGUGAGCUAUGCCUCCCUCAAACCUUGUUGCAACAUUGGCACUGCACCUGUCUGAUG